rnacentral:rRNA from 1 species
CACGUAGGGCGCAAGCGUUGUCCGGAAUUAUUGGGCGUAAAGAGCUCGUAGGCGGUCUGUUACGUCUGCUGUGAAAACCCAGGGCUUAACCCUGGGCUUGCAGUGGAUACGGGCAGACUAGAGGCAGGUAGGGGAGAAUGGAAUUCCCGGUGUAGCGGUGAAAUGCGCAGAUAUCGGGAGGAACACCGGUGGCGAAGGCGGUUCUCUGGGCCUGACCUGACGCUGAGGAGCGAAAGCUAGGGGAGCAAACGGG